rnacentral:rRNA from 1 species
CAGCAGCCGCGGGAAUACGUAGGUGGCAAGCGUUGUCCGGAAUUAUUGGGCGUAAAGGGCUCGCAGGCGGUUUCUUAAGUCUGAUGUGAAAGCCCCCGGCUCAACCGGGGAGGGUCAUUGGAAACUGGGAAACUUGAGUGCAGAAGAGGAGAGUGGAAUUCCACGUGUAGCGAUGAAAUGCGUAGAGAUGUGGAGGAACACCAGUGGCGAAGGCGACUCUCUGGUCUGUAACUGACGCUGAGGAGCGAAAGCGUGGGGAGCGAACAGGAUUAGAUACCCCGGUAGUCCCUGUCUCUUAUAA